rnacentral:rRNA from 1 species
CCCUUAGAUGUUCUGGGCCACACGCGUGCUACACUGAGUGGAUCAGCGGGUCAGGUUGCGCGAAAGCGUUUCCUAAUCUUUAAAUCCGCUCGUGAUGGGGAUUGACGGUUGCAAUUUUCUGUCAUGAACGAGGAAUACCUUGUAAGCGCGGGUCAUCAUCCCGCGCUGAAUACGUCCCUGCCCUUUGUACACACCGCCCGUUGCUCCUACCGAUUGAGUGGUCCGGUGAGGCUUUGGGAUCUGAGCGGAAAGAGCGUUUCGCUGUUUCUGCUCGGAAAACUCAGUCGAACCUUAUCAUUUAGAGGAAGGAGAAGUCGUAACA